rnacentral:rRNA from 1 species
AUUGAACGCUGGCGGCAGGCUUAACACAUGCAAGUCGAACGAUGACUAACUAGCUUGCUAGUUAUGAUUAGUGGCGGACGGGUGAGUAACAUUUAGGAAUCUGCCUAGUAGUGGGGGAUAGCUCGGGGAAACUCGAAUUAAUACCGCAUACGACCUACGGGUGAAAGGGGGCGCAAGCUCUUGCUAUUAGAUGAGCCUAAAUCAGAUUAGCUAGUUGGUGGGGUAAAGGCCUACCAAGGCGACGAUCUGUAACUGGUCUGAGAGGAUGAUCAGUCACACCGGAACUGAGACACGGUCCGGACUCCUACGGGAGGCAGCAGUGGGGAAUAUUGGACAAUGGGGGCAACCCUGAUCCAGCCAUGCCGCGUGUGUGAAGAAGGCCUUUUGGUUGUAAAGCACUUUAAGCAGGGAGGAGAGGCUAAUGGUUAAUACCCAUUAGAUUAGACGUUACCUGCAGAAUAAGCACCGGCUAACUCUGUGCCAGCAGCCGCGGUAAUACAGAGGGUGCGAGCGUUAAUCGGAAUUACUGGGCGUAAAGCGAGUGUAGGUGGCUCAUUAAGUCACAUGUGAAAUCCCCGGGCUUAACCUGGGAACUGCAUGUGAUACUGGUGGUGCUAGAAUAUGUGAGAGGGAAGUAGAAUUCCAGGUGUAGCGGUGAAAUGCGUAGAGAUCUGGAGGAAUACCGAUGGCGAAGGCAGCUUCCUGGCAUAAUAUUGACACUGAGAUUCGGAAGCGUGGGUAGCAAACAGGAUUAGAUACCCUGGUAGUCCACGCCGUAAACGAUGUCUACUAGCCGUUGGGGUCCUUGAGACUUUAGUGGCGCAGUUAACGCGAUAAGUAGACCGCCUGGGGAGUACGGCCGCAAGGUUAAAACUCAAAUGAAUUGACGGGGGCCCGCACAAGCGGUGGAGCAUGUGGUUUAAUUCGAUGCAACGCGAAGAACCUUACCUGGUCUUGACAUAGUGAGAAUCCUGCAGAGAUGCGGGAGUGCCUUCGGGAAUUCACAUACAGGUGCUGCAUGGCUGUCGUCAGCUCGUGUCGUGAGAUGUUGGGUUAAGUCCCGCAACGAGCGCAACCCUUUUCCUUAUUUGCCGGCGGGUUAAGCCGGGAACUUUAAGGAUACUGCCAGUGACAAACUGGAGGAAGGCGGGGACGACGUCAAGUCAUCAUGGCCCUUACGACCAGGGCUACACACGUGCUACAAUGGUAGGUACAGAGGGUUGCUACACAGCGAUGUGAUGCUAAUCUCAAAAAGCCUAUCGUAGUCCGGAUUGGAGUCUGCAACUCGACUCCAUGAAGUCGGAAUCGCUAGUAAUCGCAGAUCAGAAUGCUGCGGUGAAUACGUUCCCGGGCCU